rnacentral:rRNA from 1 species
AACCAGACUCCUACGGGAGGCAGCAGUGGGGAAUAUUGCACAAUGGGGGGAACCCUGAUGCAGCGACGCCGCGUGGGUGAAGGAGCACCUCGGUGCGUAAAGCCCUCUCGGCAGGGAAGAAACAGACGGUACCUGACUAAGAAGCCCCGGCUAACUACGUGCCAGCAGCCGCGGUAAUACGUAGGGGGCAAGCGUUAUCCGGAUUUACUGGGUGUAAAGGGGGCGCAGACGGCAAUGCAAGCCAGGAGUGAAAGCCCGGGGCCCAACCCCGGGACUGCUCUUGGAACUGCAUGGCUGGAGUACAGGAGGGGCAGGCGGAAUUCCUAGUGUAGCGGUGAAAUGCGUAGAUAUUAGGAGGAACACCGGUGGCGAAGGCGGCCUGCUGGACUGUGACUGACGUUGAGGCCCGAAGGCGUGGGGAGCAAACAGGAUUAGAUACCCUAGUA